rnacentral:rRNA from 1 species
UACGUAGGGUGCAAGCGUUAAUCGGAAUUACUGGGCGUAAAGCGUGCGUAGGCGGCUUUGCAAGUCGGGUGUGAAAUCCCCGGGCUCAACCUGGGAAUGGCAUUCGGGACUGCAAGGCUGGAGUGCGGAAGAGGAGACUGGAAUUCCUGGUGUAGCAGUGAAAUGCGUAGAUAUCAGGAGGAAUACCGAUGGCGAAGGCAGGUCUCUGGGCUGACACUGACGCUCAUGCACGAAAGCGUGGGGAGCAAACAGG